rnacentral:rRNA from 1 species
GACCAUCAGUGGUUAAGUUAAUAAGGGCGCACGGUGGAUGCCUUGGCACUAGGAGCCGAAGAAGGACGGCACUAACACCGAUAUGCCUCGGGGAGCUGUAAGUGAGCUGUGAUCCGGGGAUUUCCGAAUGGG